rnacentral:rRNA from 1 species
CCUACGGGAGGCAGCAGUAGGGAAUCUUCCACAAUGGGCGAAAGCCUGAUGGAGCAACGCCGCGUGAGUGAUGAAGGCCUUCGGGUUGUAAAACUCUGUCAUUCGGGACGAACCGGAGUCUGAGGAAAUGCAGACUCUCUGACGGUACCGGAGGAGGAAGCCCCGGCUAACUACGUGCCAGCAGCCGCGGUAAUACGUAGGGGGCAAGCGUUGUCCGGAUUCACUGGGCGUAAAGCGCGCGCAGGCGGUGAUGUAAGUCUGAGGUGAAAACCCGAAGCUCAACUUCGGGACUGCCUUGGAUACUGCGUCACUUGAGGAUAGGAGAGGCAAGGGGAAUUCCACGUGUAGCGGUGAAAUGCGUAGAGAUGUGGAGGAACACCUGUGGCGAAGGCGCCUUGCUGGCCUAUUUCUGACGCUGAGGCGCGAAAGCGUGGGGAGCAAACAGGAUUAGAUACCCUGGUAGUCCACGCUGUAAACGAUGAGUGCUAGGUGUAGGUGGGCUCAUACCCAUCUGUGCCGAAAGCUAACGCAUUAAGCACUCCGCCUUGGGGAGUUCGGUUGCAAGCUUGAAACUUAAGGAAUUGACGGNUUGAGAGNGCGAGCGACACGAGGAGUAG